GCUGGAAUAACUCAGUUGGUUAGAGCGUGUGUCUCUUAAUCACACAAGAUCGGAGGUUCAAACCCUCCUUCUAGUG